AUUUAACUGCAAAUAAUUUCAAAAAUUGCUUAGCUUUGGAUAAAAAAUUAAUAAAAGAAGUCGUUAACCUUCAUCAAUCCUUUGAAUUCUGGUAAAUUAACAAACUUUUUGGUACCAAAGUGUGAUGGCUUAUAGUAAGGUAUCACCAACUUGAAGGUAUGAUACGCACAGAAAGCAAUGGACCCAAAAGUUACUAUACACCAAAUUCUGCAAAAUAUUAUUACGACAAUCACUAGACAUUAUUAAAAAAUCUACUAAAUUAUCUUAAUGAAAAUUGGUAACAACUCAAGAACAAACAGUUAAGUUUGCUGUGCGCCU